AGCCCAAAAGAAGAUUACCAGCAGAUAAAUCGGGUAAGUAAAAUGAUCAUGCCUUGAUGUUUCUUUCUUUAGCAUAACCAUUAGGAGUAUAGAACAAGUACUUAAGUAAAUUUGAACCAAUUUUGAGAAAGGUAAUAAACUAUGUUACAUUGCCAAAAACCCAGACUUCUGAACAAAAUUACCUGUGCUUAAUUCAGCUAGAAAUAAUGCAAUUUGGGGAAACCUCAUGUAGAGCCGUAUGUGGUUAUACACAUGUUGUAGAGUAAGUUCUGUUAUCGUGAGCAUAGAUAAUUUUGGUAACCCCUCAAACAUUACAUCUUGCCUCUGUUAUCAGAAAUAAGUGUUUCUCACACCACAAUUGCACAAUUUUUACAAAACACACUCAGAAACCACAAAGAACUUGGCCUCUGGUUAAAACAUUUUGCAAAGCUCCUGGGAAUAGAAACAAAUGCAAGAAAAAGAUGCAGGUUAUUUUAAGUAAGUAGGAAGUCACAGGUCUUUAGCAACAGCCUGAAGGUUUUCCCUUGUAUGCAAAUGUUAAUAAUAUUACCAAUGCAACUCUGUAUGAACAAAAGGCAGAUGGGUUUCAGAGUAAAUGUAAGCGUGGUGCACCCUGUCUCUGCCACUCCCUGCCUUGCCUGGGAGUGCUGGCUACCAAAAUGAAGAGUGGACUAUGAGGCUGAAAACCACUCCACAACACAUCUAAGAUUAGGACUAGAGAGUAAAUCAAAGGAUGACAGAAUGGAGAAAGGAUAUUAUGAACAAAUAUCAAGGAGUUGGACAGAGAAAAUGUAAGUGUGUCUUGUCUUCACAUCACAUAAGGAAUUGCACAACUUUGGACAAGGCAUUGGUGUUUACUGGAAGACUGCAAGAGUGUCAGAAACGCAGAUCAAGACAAUGCUGUUCCCAUGGGAAGUUGAGGUCUGCGGUCUAUUUGAAUUAGUGGUUUUUUUCCUGAAACCAUUUCAGUCAAGAAAUCAGAAUAUUACUCUUCUGUCUUCUCCCAUUUAAUGAAGAGCAGGAAGCCAGAUGCCACCAGGCACUGAGGCUGGCCAAUUCUAUGACG